AUCUCUUUCUGGAGAUCACUUCCUGGUGAAGCUUUCUCUUGUGAACCUAGAGUCUUCUGCUAAUGGUUCACAGGUGCCACAUCCACGAGCGGAGACUGGAAAAACAAUCCUAAUUUUUGUGAGAGGCUUUCUUCCCUUUCUAGCCUAAGUGCGAAUGAAAAGGAAUGCUGAUAAACAAAAGCAUAAAAGGAGCCAUAUUGUACAGCACAAGGCAGCCCUGGAAAGAAGUUUAGUAUUCUGGGAAUAUAUGGCACUAAAGUACUUGUCAGUGUUGCAGUAUUUUGACACAUAAGUGGGACACAUCUGAAACCUUAUCUUUGCCCUCCACUGCCUAGUGCAAAGCAUUGGCACGGUGACAGAAUUCAUCUUGCUCAGGAGUCAAGAUGUUACAAGAGCCAUCUUCAGCAAAAAAAAGGGAGAAAAGACAGAAGUACUGCCUUUUUUUUGAGUCUCACAGCCCUGGGUUGGCAAUUGCAGCGUCUAUACUUGUGACAAGCCUGAGAGAUUUUGUCUCAGCUCAAAAAAUGUACAAUUUGUGACCUUGGUCUCUGGGGAAAUGUCAAGAAGCACUGAAUGAAGAGGAUACUUUCAUUAGCCUUUGGGAUGUUGCCAGCGCUCCCAAACUGUUGUCAGCUCUGCCGCUGCUCAUAAGAUUUUCCCAUCUGUGUAAUCAGUUGUCAAGAUAUAUCUUUUUUGCUUCCAGAAGGUAUUCAUUCUGCCUAUACCUGAUUGCUAUUUUUCCUGUGUGGGGUUGUUUUCAUGUCUGAAAUUCCAGUGGGAAUUUACUGUAUUUUCAGCUCAUCAUUUCAAUUGCAUCUGUUUUGUUAUUGCUGAUGGUAGUGCUGUUUUUGGUUGGUCCUGGUGAAAUUAGUGGUUCUGAAUGGUGUUGCAUUAGCAGCCUCUAUACUGACGUCUUUCCAAUGGAGCAGAUACAGGACCUGUGUAAGCUUUACUAAAGGUCUCAGCACGACUGAGAGCAGCAUACACCCUUGGUUGUAUCUUUGCAACAACUAAGAUUGACUAAGAUUGAAAGAGCCUAUUACAAGUGCAAACACUGUUGAUAACAUGUGCUGUAGGCUCUGAUCCACCGCAAACGGCCUAACAGAAGCCCAUUUCACAGCUCACCCAGCAGUGGGAUGAGAGUCCGUUUGUGGCUGGAGCUCUCUGAGUGCUUCCUGAGGAAGACAAAGGAAAAUCUUGGUAGGGAGAUUUGGAUGAGAUGGCGGUGGCUGGUUGCAUACUAUGAAGAAGCCUUGACCCAGCUAACUGAUUUAUUCAGACUUGCCUCAGCUCUUGG
rnacentral:lncRNA from 1 species